AGCCCAUAUGCAACUGCCCUUGAGACCCGCUCACGCCCCAACAGAUCGAGGCCUCGAGGCCAUGAUUUUGCAGUAAUAAAUGGCAAAACGAGGCCACCAUCUCUCAGAUUCUCCGUUCCCAGCGAUUCCUCCGCGUCGCCGCGAGAGCUCCUCGCCCGUAGCCUCCUCCUCGAACGCCGACGGUCGCACGGUCCUCCUUCUCCAACGCCGCUGCGCGACCUCCUUCCUCCACCAACACUGCUGCGCCCCACUGCAGCAGACGCGACUCCGCUGUCAGCUCGGCCACUCCGCUGUCCAUGGACUCAGAUACGUGCGCCUCUCACUCAUUUUACCAUUUCUGCAUCUCAUACAAGAUUUCAGAAGAUACAUACUCUGUAAAGGGAAAACAGAGAUGACAUUUUUCCUUCUGCUCGAAUAAGCACGAGUGUACGUACCAUUCGCUAAAGAGCAGAGAUGACAUUUAAUUAACGAUCUUGAUGUUAAAAACUGAAACACUGCGUGAAACUGCAAAUACAAUUCAGUAUGCACAGGCCCUAAUUUCUCUCUUAAGGUUUUUUUAGUAGACAGAGAGGAUAAACGUUAUGAUAAGAAUAGACUCACGUUUAAGUAAUCUGAUAAGAAUAGACUCACUCUGCUAUAUAUCAUUAUCUUGUGUUCUUGUCUAGAACUUUUUCUUGGAUGUUGUAAACAUGAAUGCGUGUGUGACCAGAAAGAAACAGAACGGCGGCUUGCACACAUGAGCUCUUAAUCAUGUAGGCUAGGCUACCAAGAAUGGGACGCGGCUGUUCUGCUCGCGAGCACAGGUGAGCACUUUAUCUGGGCGGCUGGACCUAGCGUCGGGAUGUGUAGCGCGCAAUUAUUGGGCCAACCAGUCCCUCUUUUUUAAUUCACAUGGUCAGAGAAUACCCUAUACUGCUGCGUAGUUCGUCCCACCGGAGACUGGGCUCGUAGUUGGUGCCGUGACGGCGAGAAAGCAGAGCCGUGGCUCGGGAUUUUGGCUCUCCGCCUGAUCCAUGGCUCAGGAGGUGUGAUUUCUGGUAGGGCCAGUGUGGACGCUAGUAAUGACAAACGCGGAGCUGUCUCCCACCUCUGGCUAAAAUAUUUUGGAUCGCCAUUGACGUCAGUGAAGAUCUGCGGUGGAGCAAAACCAGGCGGCGCUUGCUGGAAUGGAGUCCUGAUGCAACCCAUUAGGAGAAUCGUGGUGAUGGAAGAGGUUAGCGAUAGCCAGCUUCCAAUGGAGCCGCUGCACCACCCCGCGGUGGCGACUGAAGCUGAGCAGCUACCACCCAUGCGACUGGUAGCGUGCACGGGCAGAUCUGUGCGGCGGAGGGGGGAGUCGCAGGCGAGGGGGAUGCUGAACCGCAAGCAUCUGAGAAAUCUAUUGCACAGAUUGAUCCGAAAACACCAGGCUGGACUUGCAGGGUUAGAAUUGGAGCCGAUGCCCCAGGAAGGGCACCUUGCCCUGGGCGAACAAGCGCCCUUGAGAAGGCAACACGGGGUGCGCUGAUCAACCUGGGAACAUUGUAAUUGUUCCAGCACUUGGUACAAGCUUCGAUACCCUCGGGGAGGCAUAUGAUUUCUACAAUCUCUACUCGUGGGAGAAGGGUUUAGGAAUAAGGGUAAAGCUGGGGUGGAGAACACUAGAUCGUGUCGGUGUGAGUGUCCUGCAUUAACAAGACUCCUCCAAUCGAAGGACAAUGGAUGGUACAUAGGGGAGCAUCUGAACAUCUCAAUCAUUCAUUGUCUCCAACGUAUGGUCAGACAAUACACUGGCUCAGCAUAUUGAUGCCAACAGCAGAGACUUGGUGGAGCAUUUGCGACAGAACAAUGUGAACGUGGCAAAAGUACACAACAUCAUUGGGAGUUUUUUUUUGGCUCAAUGGAAAGGUACCUUUCACAAAAAGAGCUCUGAAGAAUUUGUGUGGUAAAAUCAGCAGAGAGCAGGCAGAGGAUGAUGUUAGGAAAACUAUGGAGGUUUUCGCAGAUCCGGGUUCAAGAGAUUCGCAUUUCACUUACCGAGUCCAGGCAGGCAAAGAUGGUCGGAUAACCACUCUUAUGUGGGCAAAUGGGAGCAGCAGGUUGCAGUACACAUUCUUCGGAGACAUUGGUUGACAAAUAUAAUUUAAAGAUGCAUGACUACAUGACCCAACUUUAUGAAAUAAGACACAAGUGGGAACAGACCCAAUGGACUGUUGGCGCCAAAGAAGCGGAAAGAAAUAGGGCGACCAACAGCUAGCAGAUAGAAGGCUCCGUACGAGGAGCUGAGCAAACGAACGCGGUUCUGCACCAUAUGUCGCGGGCAGGGGCAUAAGAGGACAACAUGUCCGGACCGAGGUGAUACCCCGAAACCUGUUCACAAACCGGCAAGGUGCAAAAAUUGUGGAAUUGAAGGUCAUGGGCAAAACAACUGCCACAAAGUGGGUGAUCUGCGGUUGACUGGCAUGUGAACAAUGGCUGGAACCUAUCGAUUGAGACUGUAAAACUGUAGAACUGAAAUCUGUAGAACUUAGGUAGUUCCGUCAAUAGAAGUGCUUCUUGUUUCAUGGUUGCUCAGUGUAUGGAUGGCAAAAUAAAUAAAUAAAUAAACAAAUGGAACGGCCGAACAAAAA